AAAACGGUCCUUUUAAGGGCCACACACAUGUCUUUUAAGAAGCUA
rfam:Poecilia formosa, whole genome shotgun sequence.